rnacentral:lncRNA from 1 species
UCUGCCUCUCUUUUUCCUUGAUGGACAUGCAUCACCGGGACAACCUCCCAUCUUUUGUUAUAGAAAGAUCGCUAAUAUAAACAGGGUUUAGUAAUUCUUGUUUCGAAAACAAGUGGAAGUCUUGAUAUCUAAGAAACAUUAAUAUACUAUUAGAUGAAUAAAUUGCUGAUAGUCAUUAUGUACCAAUAGGUAAGACAGAUUAUCAUAUCGUAUCUCUACUCAUAUGCCAC